GAACGGGUGAGUAACACGUGGGUGAUCUGCCCUGCACUUUGGGAUAAGCCUGGGAAACUGGGUCUAAUACCGAAUAUGACCAUGCGCCUCCUGGUGUGUGGUGGAAAGCUUUUGCGGUGUGGGAUGGGCCCGCGGCCUAUCAGCUUGUUGGUGGGGUAAUGGCCUACCAAGGCGACGACGGGUAGCCGGCCUGAGAGGGUGACCGGCCACACUGGGACUGAGAUACGGCCCAGACUCCUACGGGAGGCAGCAGUGGGGAAUAUUGCACAAUGGGCGCAAGCCUGAUGCAGCGACGCCGCGUGAGGGAUGACGGCCUUCGGGUUGUAAACCUCUUUCAGCACAGACGAAGCGCAAGUGACGGUAUGUGCAGAAGAAGGACCGGCCAACUACGUGCCAGCAGCCGCGGUAAUACGUAGGGUCCGAGCGUUGUCCGGAAUUACUGGGCGUAAAGAGCUCGUAGGUGGUUUGUCGCGUUGUUCGUGAAAACUCACAGCUUAACUGUGGGCGUGCGGGCGAUACGGGCAGACUUGAGUACUGCAGGGGAGACUGGAAUUCCUGGUGUAGCGGUGGAAUGCGCAGAUAUCAGGAGGAACACCGGUGGCGAAGGCGGGUCUCUGGGCAGUAACUGACGCUGAGGAGCGAAAGCGUGGGGAGCGAACAGGAUUAGAUACCCUGGUAGUCCACGCCGUANACGGUGGGUACUAGGUGUGGGUUUCCUUCCUUGGGAUCCGUGCCGUAGCUAACGCAUUAAGUACCCCGCCUGGGGAGUACGGCCGCAAGGCUAAAACUCAAAGAAAUUGACGGGGNNNCGCACAAGCGGC
rnacentral:rRNA from 1 species